AAGACGCAAGUAUCUUAGCGGCGGACGGGUGAGUAACGCGUGAGGAACCUGCCUUCUACAAGGGGAUAGCCUCGGGAAACCGGGAUUAAUACCCUAUGACACUUAAACAUCCCAUGAUGAUUAAGUUAAAGCGUAAAGCGGUAGAAGAUGGCCUCGCGUCCCAUUAGUUAGUUGGUGAGGUAAUGGCUCACCAAGACAGCGAUGGGUAGCCGGCUUGAGAGAGUGACCGGCCACACUGGAACUGAGACACGGUCCAGACUCCUACGGGAGGCAGCAGUGGGGAAUAUUGCACAAUGGAGGAAACUCUGAUGCAGCGACGCCGCGUGAGCGAUGAAGGAAUUCGUUUCGUAAAGCUCUGUCCUAUGGGAAGAUAGUGACGGUACCAUAGGAGGAAGCCCCGGCUAACUACGUGCCAGCAGCCGCGGUAAUACGUAGGGGGCGAGCGUUGUCCGGAAUGACUGGGCGUAAAGGGUACGCAGGCGGCUAGAUAUGUCAGAUGUGAAAGACAUGGGCUUAACCCAUGCAAGCAUUUGAAACUGUCUAGCUUGAGUUAAGGAGAG
rnacentral:rRNA from 1 species